CCAGACUCCUACGGGAGGCAGCAGUGGGGGAUAUUGCACAAUGGGGGGAACCCUGAUGCAGCGACGCCGCGUGGGUGAAGAAGUGCUUCGGCAUGUAAAGCCCUAUCGGCAGGGAAGAAGCAAGACGGUACCUGACUAAGAAGCCCCGGCUAACUACGUGCCAGCAGCCGCGGUAAUACGUAGGGGGCGAGCGUUAUCCGGAUUCACUGGGUGUAAAGGGCGUGCAGCCGGGCUGACAAGUCAGAUGUGAAAUCCCGCGGCUCAACCGCGGAACUGCAUUUGAAACUGUCAGUCUUGAGUACCGGAGAGGUCAUCGGAAUUCCUUGUGUAGCGGUGAAAUGCGUAGAUAUAAGGAAGAACACCAGUGGCGAAGGCGGAUGACUGGACGGCAACUGACGGUGAGGCGCGAAAGCGUGGGGAGCAAACAGGAUUAGAUACCCCUGUAGUA
rnacentral:rRNA from 1 species